rnacentral:rRNA from 1 species
UACGUAGGGUGCAAGCGUUGUCCGGAAUUAUUGGGCGUAAAGAGCUCGUAGGCGGUCUGUUGCGUCGGCUGUGAAACCCGGGGCUCAACCCCGGGCCUGCAGCCGAUACGGGCAGACUAGAGUUCGGCAGGGGAGACUGGAAUUCCUGGUGUAGCGGUGAAAUGCGCAGAUAUCAGGAGGAACACCGGUGGCGAAGGCGGGUCUCUGGGAAACAACUGACGCUGAGGAACGAAAGCGUGGGUAGCAAACAGG